rnacentral:rRNA from 1 species
UCCGGUUGAUCCUGCCGGAGGUCACCGUUAUCAGGGUUCGACUAAGCCAUGCGAGGCGCGAGAUAUUUGGUCUCGCCAAACUGCUCAGUAACACGUAGCUAAUUUACUCUUAACUAGAGGAUAAUCCCGCGAAAGUGGGGCUAAUAAUCUAUAUCUGUUGAAGGCUGGAAUGCGUCAACAGUUAAAGCUCUGGCGGUUAAGAAUAAGGCUGCGGUCUAUCAUGGCUGUUGUGAGUGUAAUAUACUCACAAACCUAUAACGGAUAGGGGUCAUGAAAGUGGGAGCCUCGAGAUGCCUUCUGAGACAUGAAGGCAGGUCCUACGGGACGUAGCAGGCGCGAAAACUUUCCAAUGCCUUAACGGGUGAGAAGGGAACCCUGAGUGGUUAUGCAAUGCAUAACCUUUUGUCUUGUCUAGAAAGCAAGAUGAAUAAGUGGUGGGUAAGACGGGUGGCAGCCGCCGCGGUAAUACCCGCGCCACAAAUGGUGAUCGUUUUUAUUGGGUCUAAAGCGUCCGUAGCCGGUUUAAUAAGUUCUUGGUGAAAUCCAACAGUUGACUGUUGGGCUUACUGAGAAUACUGUUAAGCUUGGGAUUGGGAGAGGAGAGAGGUACUCCACGUGUAGGGGUUAAAUCCAUUAAUCCGUGGAGGACCACCGGUGGCGAAGGCGUCUCUCUAGAACAAGUCCGACGGUGAGGGACGAAAGCUAGGGGAGCAAACGGGAUUAGAUACCCCAGUAGUCCUAGCUGUAAACGAUGUCUGCUUGAUGUUGCAAACUCUACGGGAGUUUGCAGUGUCGGAGCGUAGGUGUUAAGCAGACCACCUGGGAAGUACGGCCGCAAGGUUGAAACUUAAGGGAAUUGGCGGGAGAGUACACAAGGAGUGGAGGCUGCGGUUUAAUUGGAUUCAACGCCAGACAUCUCACGAGGGUUGACAGCAGAAUGAAGGUCAUCCUAACGGGUUUACCAGACAAGCUGAGAGGAGUUGCAUGGCCAUCGUCAGCUCGUACCUUGAGGCGUGCAGUUAAGUCUGUUAACGAGCGAGACCCAUGCUGCCAUUUGCUAUUGCAUUUAAGAUCUUAUAGAUCAAAAAAUGUAAGCACUAUGGCAGGACCGCUGGUGAUAAACCAGAGGAAGGAAUGGGCGACGGUAGGUCCGUAUGGCCCGAAUACCCUCGGCUACACGCCGCCUACAAUGGUUGAGACAAUGCGUUGCAACGCCGAAAGGCGAAGCCAAUCGCCUAAACUCAACCUAAGUUCGGAUUGAGGUCUGUAACUCGGCCUCAUGAAGCCGGAAUUCCUAGUAAGCAAACGUCAUAAUCGUUUGUUGAAUAUGUCCCUGCUCUUUGCACACACCGCCCGUCAAGCCAUGCGAGUAGAUCUUCGGUGAGGCUUUGCUUUAACAAAUUCGAGCCGAAAAUUUGCGAGUGGGGC